CGGCUUCUCGCAGCCCGCCAGCUCUCUGGAACUUUCUGGAGCCAAACCGUUCCCAAACUGCCUCCAAGGGCCAGUGGCUUCUACAUGGAGGGGUGGCCUGCUAGGCUCUGGGAGGGCUCCUCAGAGCUAUGUGGACCCAGACCUUUGGACCCCCCCCCCAACUCCUGCCUAGUCCUGAUGACAUCUGCACUUUCCCUGCAGGACCCACUGAAGACAGCUGAGAAGUGAAUGACCAUUUCCAAGCAAGUUCGUGGAUUCCAGACAUUUCUGGGCCUCUACUCUGGACCUGCGUGGGGGACCCAGGGUGCCUGUGGGCUCCAAGUCCAGCAAGGAGAGACAUUCAUGCUCUGGCAGUUAGCCCUGGAGACUUGAAUGGUGCUUCUGAGGACCAAGACUUCAAUGCACAGAAGAGGAAUCUGAGGCAGCCCUUGGAGAGCAAGUCGGUGUCUUGCUGAGACCGGGACCUAGAACCCUCCCCCUUGGCCCAGACUCUUCUUCACACCUCGAUCCCAGAGGCCAGUCUUUGGGAUGCCCAAGGUCACUGGAUUCUGAGCCAAAGACCUGGGUUCAAGGUCCACUUACACCACGUGUUGGCUGUGUCACUUGGUCUCUCUAUUCUCUGCACUAAGCCUCAGUCAUCUGAGAUGGAUGAUUACUAAGAGACCCCUGCUCCAAUUGUGAGUCUGAGAUUUUCUGACAUUGAGCGGUUUGGCCAGGCUGUGGGGUCCCUCUGUGGGACACUGCUGGGGGAUUUUCUUCCUCCCACCAGACUGAAGACGGUAGUUGCUUCAGUCACAGGCUGUGUGGGCCACUCUGAGGAUGACCUAGGGGCCCGUUUGGCACACCGUGGAACCCAUCGGAUCCCUCCAAUGACACAUUUGUCCAGGGCAGAACAAGAUACACUUUGACAGCCCUCUGUCAAGAGCCUUGCUCCAAAUCUCCAGAAAAGCAGCCAGGAGUCUCCAUACUGUUCCGAAGAAGCAGAUUUCUCACCCACUCUCCAACUCCUUCCCAGGAGAUCAUCCUCCUCAAAAUCUCUGGAAAAGAGACACCUCCUUUUCCCUGAUAGAGGCUGAGGGGUGAUGCCCCCCCCUUAGCUCCCCAAUAAAGCUAUGCAAGACAGAGGCGAGGGAUCUCACGGACUGUUCUUGCUAUAAAAACCCCUUUUUCGGAAAAAAUAAUAAAGAAAAGAACCAGCCAAUCCCUCCUCAAUGCCA